rnacentral:rRNA from 1 species
CCAGCACCCGCGGUAAUUCCAGCUCCAAUAGCGUAUAUUAAAGUUGUUGCAGUUAAAAAGCUCGUAGUUGGAUUUGUGGCGUACGAGGUGUUCCCGGCACUUGUUGUCGGUGUUUUACCUCGUUGCCAUCCUUGGGUGGAAUCUGUGUGGCAUUAGGUUGUCGUGCAGGGGAUGCCCAUCUUUUACUGUGAGAAAAUUAGAGUGUUCAAAGCAGGCUUAUGCCGUUGAAUAUGUUAGCAUGGAAUAAUGAGAUAGGACCUUGGUACUAUUUUGUUGGUUUGCGCACCGAGGUAAUGAUUAAUAGGGACAGUUGGGGGUAUUCGUAUUCCAUUGUCAGAGGUGAAAUUCUUGGAUUUUUGGAAGACGAACUACUGCGAAAGCAUUUACCAAGGAUGUUUUCAUUAAUCAAGAACGAAAGU